GGGGCAGGCCGGGCAAUCGCGGUGCGCAGCAUCGAGGAAGGUCCGGACUCCAUAGGGCAGGAUAGCGGCUAACAGCCGUCCGGCAAGUCUGGUUCGCCAGGCGAGCCGAGGAACAGGGCCACAGAGACGAGUCUGCAGCGAAGGCAUUCGUGCAUCGGCACGGCGACUUCCGUGCUGCGCGCCGGGUUUCCCGGCGCGGCGCUGCAGGGUGAAACGCGGUAACCUCUAUCCGGAGCAACACCAAAUAGGCAUGCGCGCGCCUUCGGCGCACAAGGGCGGCCCGUCCGAGCAUGCGGGUAGGUGGCUGGAGCGCGCCAGCAAUGGCGCGCCAAGAGGAAUGAUUGCCCGCCGCGUUCGCGCGGCGUACAGAAUCCGGCCUACAGGCCUGUCCCACAU
rnacentral:RNase_P_RNA from 1 species